rnacentral:misc_RNA from 1 species
GAUGAAGAACGUAGCGAAAUGCGAUAAGUAAUGUGAAUUGCAGAAUUCAGUGAAUCAUCGAAUCUUUGAACGCACCUUGCGCCCUUUGGCUAUUCCGAAGGGCAUGCCUGUUUGAGUAUCGUGAACACCUCAACUCUCAUGGUUUGCCAUGAUGAGCUUGGACUUUGGGGGUUUUGCUGGCCUUUGGUCGGCUCCUCUCAAACGGAUCAGCUUACCAGUGUUUGGUGGGUAUCAUGGGUGUGAUAACUAUCUACGCUUGUGGUUUUUCCACCAGGUAACCUUCAGCAGUGGAGGUUCGCUGGAGCUCAUAGACGUCUCUCCUCAGUGAGGACAGCCCUUUGAACGUUUGAUCUCAAAUCAGGUAGGACUACCCGCUGAACUUAAGCAUAUCAAUAAGCGGAGGA